CGCUCGCAAACUACUAUUUUACAAGGCUCUUAUAUAGUACAUUUGCAAAUUCGCAAAUUUUUCAAGUAUAAUUAUUUUGCUACCCACUUUUGUGCAUGUUUACCAACUAUUUUGCGGGUCAAAUUUAACUUAAUGGUUCUUUUAAGUAAUUUUUUCACAGUCGAAUUGGAGCUUGUAAAAUAAUAAACAACGAAAAAACUAACAUAAUAUUUUAAUGUAAAAUCCAUUACCGAAUAUAAGAAUAAAUCGAAUUAUAUCUAUAUCAAUAAGUCCCAAUCAAUCUUGAUUAUUUGUUGCACAUUUUUCACUUGUAUUUAUUGACUAAAUUUCAUAUAAUAAGUAACUAUACUGAAUGUAGAUUACUUAAUUUAGAAACCGCAUGCAUGCAUGUUAUAAUACACUUUGUUUAUACGUCACUGCUAUAUAAAUUACGUUUACGAAUAUAAUAAGUAUAAUAUUAUGCACUGUUUACGAAAUAAAAAAACUCAUAAGCAUCAGAAAUUCGUCACCAGAGUUUCCCCCAGUUGACUAAUUGCCGUUACAAUAUUUAACGAUUUUUUUUUUUUUUUUUUUUGUUUCAUAACGAAUUUAACAUAACUUGUUUUAUCAAAAUAAAUUGAAUAGUUCUCGUAAUUUGUGCCAACAUACAAAUAGACAGUGAGGUCGGGAGUUAGAAAUCCAAACGUUCUAAAGGCACAUCCUCGACAACGGUUUUAUUUUUUACAUAGAUAUGUUCAGGCACGUUUAAAUCCCCCCACCGAAAAUUAUUAGUUGUGUAAUUUUAUUUAUAUC